ACGAACGCUGGCGGCGUGCUUAACCCAUGCAAGUCGAACGCUGAAGCACCAGCUUGCUGGUGUGGAUGAGUGGCGAACGGGUGAGUAAUACGUGAGUAACCUGCCCUUGACUCUGGGAUAAGCCCGGGAAACUGGGUCUAAUACUGGAUGCUACAUGUCACCGCAUGGUGGUGUGUGGAAAGGGUUUACUGGUCUUGGAUGGGCUCACGGCCUAUCAGCUUGUUGGUGAGGUAAUGGCUCACCAAGGCGACGACGGGUAGCCGGCCUGAGAGGGUGACCGGCCACACUGGGACUGAGACACGGCCCAGACUCCUACGGGAGGCAGCAGUGGGGAAUAUUGCACAAUGGGCGAAAGCCUGAUGCAGCGACGCCGCGUGAGGGAUGACGGCCUUCGGGUUGUAAACCUCUUUCAGCAGGGAAGAAGCCACAAGUGACGGUACCUGCAGAAGAAGCGCCGGCUAACUACGUG
rnacentral:rRNA from 1 species